rnacentral:rRNA from 1 species
GAUCCUGGCUCAGGAUGAACGCUAGCGGCAGGCCUAACACAUGCAAGUCGAGGGCAGCACGGUGUAGCUAAUACACUGGUGGCGACCGGCGCACGGGUGCGUAACGCGUAUGCAACCUACCCAUAACAGGGGGAUAACACUGGAGAAAUUGGUACUAAAUACCCCAUAACAUCAGGACCGGCAUCGGUUCUGGUUGAAAACUCCGGUGGUUAUGGAUGGGACAUGCGUUGUAUUAGCUGGUUGG